CAUUUACCUAAUGCCUGUACCCUUAUUGUACCUAGGAAGCAAUUAACUUGCUUUUGAUUUUACAGGCUCAUAGGUGGAAGGGACUUGCCUUGUCACAGAUGAGACUUUAGACUGUGGACUUUUGAGUUAAUGUUGAAAUGAGUUAAGACUUUAGGGGACUGUUGUGAAGGCAUGAUUGUGUUUUGAAAUGUGAGGACAUGAGAUUUGGGAGGAGUCAGGGGCAGAAUGAUGUGGUUUGGUUGUGUCUCCACCCAAAUCUCAUUUUGAAUUUCCACAUGUUGUGGGCGGGACCCAGUGGGAGGUAAUUGAAUCAUGGGGGCAGGUCUUUCCCAUGCUGUUCUUGUGACAGCGAUCUCUCAUGAGAUCUAACAGGGAGUUUCCCUGCACAAGCUCUCUCUUUGCCUGCUGCCAUCUGUGUAAGAUGAGACUUGCUCCUCCUUGCCACCUACCAUGAUUGUGAGGCUUCUUCAGCCAUGUGGAACAUUCCUCAAGAAAGUCCAUGCUCCAACAAGAGGCAUCUUGGAACUGAGACAGCCAGGUGGGAAGGGCUCCUGGCAAAACUUCAAUCGGUCUGCGCACUGGGAGGAAUGAACAGUGGGAUGGAGCCAUGGAAGUCUGCACCACCGUUUUCAGCAGGGAAGGGCCUGGCCCCUCCUCUUUCUGUGCGAAACUUGAGAUUCACACUUCAAGGCACCCAAAUGACUUCUCCCUUUUUAUAAGAGUGAGAGGGAGAGAACUUUUUGAAUCAGGUGCAGUAAGAGGUCUUGGAUCUUGGACAAGUCACAACUGUGUUACCUUCAAUGAAAACAGCAGACAAAUCUUAUUUGUGAUAUUUUUUGUGAUUCUCAGAACGUGCCAAGGAUCAAUGGAAGCAUUUGCCUCUUGUCACAUUCAGGCCACUGAACAGGUGGCCUGA
rnacentral:lncRNA from 1 species